GAGAUUAUCAACAUCAGGGGAAAACUGCAAUACUUCUAGUAACUGCCCCGAGAUGAGGAUGCCUAUUGAUGGACCCUGGUAUAUAGGUAUACAGCAUAAGCAGUGUUAAGGACAUGCGGUUGUGAUGUGUGAUAUACCCUGUACCCUGAAAGUAGUCCACUAAAGGUGUAGGCACACAAAGAAAUGCUUCUGGGUUGUUUUAAGUAUCCCUUUAAGAAGUUCUUAAAGGCAAUGGUGCACCCCAUUUAGCAGCAUCUCAACCUAAAUGCAGUGUACAGCAAUGAAGUUUCACACACAAGUUACUGAGGAUAUAGGCACAUAGUUUCUGAAAAGAGUCCCUCAAGUUGCUGUUUGGGACAUAUCAGAAAAGAACUCCUGGCUUCCAAACUGCAAGAUUCAUCUCUUCCACUGGAUGUCAUAGCUUUGGAGUAUAGUUUCCGUGAGCACACAGUCAUUCUCUGUCUAAUCAGGAACUGGAUGAUGCGUGUGGGCAGAAAUGCAGAGUGUACCACCUGUCAAAAAAGCCACCUAUUCCUUCAAUGAAGAGAUAUGUGUGUGUGGACAGUGACUGUAGUUUCCAGAAUAGAACUCACCUGUUACCUUAGGAACUUCAGAUACUUCCAAGGGUGUAGUACCGGUGCACCAGGCCGGUUUUCCAGCUGAGUGAAUCCAAUCAACAUUUCCAGCUAAACAAGGGCCAGGAACAAUAUUAGACUCCUUAUCAAAAUGGGUUGAAAAUCAAGGAGCUGUGAUGUACAAUAGAGGUACGCUCAAACGCGGAGGAAAUGUUCAACCCUGACCUGACCCAGUGGCCAAUGAUACUGCGAUUGGCAAGGAAGUCUUAUUCAGGCCAAAUGCUGCACUGGCCGAGAGCAGGGAAUGUCUCCAGGAUGGAUACAUGAGGACAGAAGAGUGGAUGAACAACAGCUAGGCAGGAACAGUAUUCUGUAUAAGAAUGAAGACACCAA